UACGUAGGGGGCAAGCGUUGUUCGGAAUCACUGGGCUUAAAGGGCGCGUAGGCGGGUCGAAAAGUCCGCGGUGAAAUCCCCCCGCUCAACGGGGGAACGGCCGCGGAUACUGUCGGCCUCGAGGGGGGUAGGGGCGAGCGGAACGCUGGGUGGAGCGGUGAAAUGCGUUGAUAUCCAGCGGAACUCCGGUGGCGAAGGCGGCUCGCUGGACCUUCACUGACGCUGAGGCGCGAAAGCCAGGGGAGCGAACGGG
rnacentral:rRNA from 1 species